UUUUAUUUAUCGAAAAUACUACUAGUUCUACUGUAUCUUCAGUAUUAUUUAUAUUUUCUAACUUUUGUGUAAUUUUUUCACUUCCUUUUAUCCAAUCAGUUUUCUUUCUUAUUUUAUUAUAGGACGAAGAUAUAAGAAAAUAGGUGAACAUUUAUAUUUAAUGUUAGAAAAAGAAGAAUUAAAGUUAGAAGAUAAAUUAACAGCAAUGGUAAGAAUAGAAAAAGAAAAU
rnacentral:lncRNA from 1 species